rnacentral:tRNA from 1 species
GCUUUCGUGGUGUAGUGUUGAGCACGCUCGACGUGUAUUCGAGAGGUCCGAGGUUCGAAUCCCGGCGACGACA